AUGAAAGAAAAUUACUCAGGAGAAAAUAACUCUUCACUUUUAUUAAGAAAUUGGGAUAUCAGAAGUAAGAAAUAUAUGAUGGCAUUGGUCCCAGUCUAUUGCUUGUUGUCAACUACUGAUGCACUGGUGAAACUGAUAGACUUGGUGGACGAGGACGCCCUUAUCUUCUGGCUUGCCAUUGUAGUUACCCAUCAUCAGUCAGGUUAAUAAAACAUUGGAACCUACAGACUGUCUCUGACUCCAGGCUGCUGUCAUCAAAAAUUCCUCACAUUUACCAUAAGUGUCAAGUCACUGGACCCGUGGGUUUAGCUUGUUUCAAAAACAGAACUGGACUUUCUAUCCAAACCCAGAAAAACAUUGAAAACAUAAAACAACAAAAAUCUGUGGCGUGUUCGUAAAAAUCAUGACUCUAACUCUGAUCUAAACCAGACUGUUUUCCUCCUGGCUUCCUCCCUGUUUUCCCUUAAUUAGACUAACUGGAAGGGAAAGGUCUUCAUUGGACCAAAACAGCAGUCUUCCUGCUCUAAUCUGUAGGACGAAACAGAGAAUCUGGUCUGGAAUUGAAUUUGAAAUAUUUAAAAAAAUGACUACCAGCUUAACAUUGUCACUGUCCCG
rnacentral:lncRNA from 1 species